rnacentral:rRNA from 1 species
AACGAACGCUGGCGGCAUGCCUAACACAUGCAAGUCGAGCGAGACCUUCGGGUCUAGUGGCGCACGGGUGCGUAACGCGUGGGAACCUGCCCUUAGGUUCGGAAUAACUCCCCGAAAGGGGUGCUAAUACCGGAGAAUGUCUUCGGACCAAAGAUUUAUCGCCUUUGGAUGGGCCCGCGUUGGAUUAGCUAGUUGGUAGGGUAAAAGCCUACCAAGGCGACGAUCCAUAGCUGGUCUGAGAGGAUGAUCAGCCACACUGGGACUGGGACACGGCCCAGACUCCUACGGGAGGCAGCAGUGGGGAAUAUUGGACAAUGGGCGGAAGCCUGAUCCAGCAAUGCCGCGUGAGUGAUGAAGGCCUUAGGGUUGUAAAGCUCUUUUACCCGGGAUGAUAAUGACAGUACCGGGAGAAUAAGCUCCGGCUAACUCCGUG